GAUGAACGCUGGCGGCGUGCCUAAUACAUGCAAGUCGAGCGAACGGACGAGAAGCUUGCUUCUCUGAUGUUAGCGGCGGACGGGUGAGUAACACGUGGAUAACCUACCUAUAAGACUGGGAUAACUUCGGGAAACCGGAGCUAAUACCGGAUAAUAUUUUGAACCGCAUGGUUCAAAAGUGAAAGGCGGUCUUGCUGUCACUUAUAGAUGGAUCCGCGCUGCAUUAGCUAGUUGGUAAGGUAACGGCUUACCAAGGCAACGAUGCAUAGCCGACCUGAGAGGGUGAUCGGCCACACUGGAACUGAGACACGGUCCAGACUCCUACGGGAGGCAGCAGUAGGGGAUCUUCCGCAAUGGGCGAAAGCCUGACGGAGCAACGCCGCGUGAGUGAUGAAGGUCUUCGGAUCGUAAAACUCUGUUAUUAGGGAAGAACAUAUGUGUAAGUAACUGUGCACAUCUUGACGGUACCUAAUCAGAAAGCCACGGCUAACUACGUG
rnacentral:rRNA from 1 species